GCUUUUAUAGCUUAAGAUUUAGAGUAAAGUCUUGAAGAGACUUGGGUGAAAGAUUCUAAAAGCA
rnacentral:tRNA from 1 species